rnacentral:rRNA from 1 species
GUGCCAGCCGCCGCGGUAAUACAGAGGCCUCGAGCGUUAAUCGGAAUCACUGGGCUUAAAGGGUGCGUAGGCGGAUCUUCAAGUGCCUUGUGAAAUCCCAUGGCUCAACCAUGGAAUUGCUCGGUAGACUGGGGAUCUUGAGGUAGGUAGGGGUCACUGGAACUCUAGGUGGAGCGGUGAAAUGCGUAGAUAUCUAGAGGAACGCCGAUGGUGAAGACAGGUGACUGGGCCUAUUCUGACGCUGAUGCACGAAAGCGUGGGGAGCAAACGGGAUUAGAUACCCCCGUAGUCC